GCCCGGGUGGCGGAAUUGGUAGACGCUGCGGACUUAAAAUCCGCUGGUAGAAAUACCGUGCCGGUUCGAGUCCGGCCCUGGGCACCA
rnacentral:tRNA from 1 species